UACGUAGGGGGCUAGCGUUGUCCGGAAUCAUUGGGCGUAAAGCGCGUGUAGGCGGUCCGGUAAGUCCGCUGUGAAAGUCGAGGGCUCAACCCUCGAAUGCCGGUGGAUACUGUCGGGCUUGAGUACGGGAGAGGCGAGUGGAAUUCCUGGUGUAGCGGUGAAAUGCGCAGAUAUCAGGAGGAAAACCGAUUGCGAAGGCAGCUCGCUGGAACGUUACUGACGCUGAGACGCGAAAGCGUGGGGAGCAAACAGG
rnacentral:rRNA from 1 species